rnacentral:lncRNA from 1 species
AGUGGCGGCUUCAGGAGAGAGCGGGACUUCGUGUGGCGGAGGCAGCAUUUAUGACCUUCUACAGUGAGGUGAAACAAAUAGAGAAGAGAGACUUGGUUCUAACGUGAAAAAAUCAGAUUGAAAGACUGACCUGUCCUGGUUCCUCUUACUUCAGUUUCACCCCAUUUGAGGUUCUUCAGAUCCUGAAGUUACAGAUGAAGAAAUAAAAAAGCGGCAGUUAUCCAUCUUGGUGCAUCCUGACAAAAAUCAAGAUGAUGCUGACAGAGCACAAAAGGCUUUUGAGGCUGUGGACAAAGCUUACAAGUUGCUACUAGAUCAGGAGCAAAAGAAGAGGACCCUGGAUGUAAUUCAGGCAGGAAAAGAAUACGUUGACCACACUGUGAAAGAGCGAAAAAAACAAAGAAGGAAGGAAAACCUACAAUUGUAGAGGAGGAUGAUCCUGAGCUGUUCAAACAAGCUGUAUAUAAACAGACAAUGAAACUCUUUGCUGAGCUGGAAAUUAAAAGGAAAGAGAGAGAAGCCAAAGAGAUGCUGAAAGGAAACGACAAAGGGGAGAAGAGAUUGAAGCUCAAGAAAAAGCCAAACGGGAAAGAGAGUGGCAGAAAAACUUUGAGGAAAGUCGAGAUGGUUGUGUGGACAGCUGGCGAAACUUCCAAGCCAAUACAAAGGGGAAGAAAGAGAAGAUAAAUCGGACCUUCCUGAGACCACCGAAAGUAAAAAUGGAGCAGCG